ACGGAGGAUGCGAGCGUUAUCCGGAAUUAUUGGGCGUAAAGAGUCCGUAGGUGGUUUAGCAAGUCUGCCGUUAAAGAAUGGAGCUUAACUCCAUGUGGGCGGUGGAAACUGCGAGACUAGAGUACAGUAGGGGUAGCAGGAAUUCCCAGUGUAGCGGUGAAAUGCGUAGAUAUUGGGAAGAACAUCGGUGGCGAAAGCGUGCUACUGGGCUUGUACUGACACUGAGGGACGAAAGCUAGGGUAGCGAAAGGG
rnacentral:rRNA from 1 species